rnacentral:lncRNA from 1 species
CAAGCAUUGAAGAAUUGUUUUAUUUUUACAUAAUCCAUUAUAUGUACAUGUAUAUAUGUAUAUAUGUAUAUGUGCGUGUAUAUACAUAUAUAUGUAUACACACAUGCACACACAGAGACACAUACGUACCAUUACAUAGUCACUCAGAGUCCCAGCAGCAUGACUAUAACAAUUUUGAUAAGUGUCCUUUGGCAUAAAAGAAAAACAUCCUAUCAGUCCUUUCUAAGAAACCUGAAUUGACCAAAAAGCAUCCCACCACCACUUUAUUAAAUUGAUUCCGCUUUUUCCUGCAGUAUUGUUUAGCCAUCUUCUGCUCUUGGUAAGGUUGACAUAAUAUAUGUCAAUUUAAAAAAAUAAAAGUCUGCUUUGUAAAUAGUAAUUUUACCCAGUGGUGCAUGUUUGAGCAAACAAAAAUGAUGAUUUAAGCACAGUAUUUAUUGCAUCAAAUAUGUACCACAGUAAGUAUAGUUUGCAAGCUUUCAACAGGUAAUAUGAUGUAAUUGGUUCCAUUAUAGUUUGAAGCUGUCACUGCUGCAUGUUUCUCUUGCCGAUGCUGCUGUAUCUUAUUCCUUCCACUGUUCAGAAGUCUAAUAUGGGAAGCCAUAUGUCAGUGGUGAAAUGAAGCAAAUUGUUCUCUCAAGACCUCAUUCUUCAUGUCGUUGAGCAAUAGGUUGCAGCAAACAACGAAGAGCUUCUUGCUUUUUCUUCUUCCAAUCUUAAUUGAACACUCUGGUGAAAAGCCUGACUGUACGAACAUGUUGCAAGCUGCUUAGAUCUGUUG